rnacentral:rRNA from 1 species
AUGCACGCUGGCGGCGUGCCUCAUACAUGCAAGUCGAGCGAACAGAUGAGGAGCUUGCUCCUCUGACGUUAGCGGCGGACGGGUGAGUAACACGUGGAUAACCUACCUAUAAGACUGGGAUAACUUCGGGAAACCGGAGCUAAUACCGGAUAAUAUAUUGAACCGCAUGGUUCAAUAGUGAAAGACGGUUUUGCUGUCACUUAUAGAUGGAUCCGCGCCGCAUUAGCUAGUUGGUAAGGUAACGGCUUACCAAGGCAACGAUGCGUAGCCGACCUGAGAGGGUGAUCGGCCACACUGGAACUGAGACACGGUCCAGACUCCUACGGGAGGCAGCAGUAGGGAAUCUUCCGCAAUGGGCGAAAGCCUGACGGAGCAACGCCGCGUGAGUGAUGAAGGUCUUCGGAUCGUAAAACUCUGUUAUUAGGGAAGAACAAAUGUGUAAGUAACUAUGCACGUCUUGACGGUACCUAAUCAGAAAGCCACGGCUAACUACGUG